rnacentral:SRP_RNA from 1 species
CGACUGUAAUGGUCAAGGUGGGUUUGAAGGCACUUGAUUUUCUUAAUGUCUCUAUUCCAUGUCCAAAUCUGGAAGCCCAGCGGCGCCCAGCACGAACCUUGCGGUGGUCACCCACUCGCACGGGUAGCCUGCGAUGCUGCGCGUGGCCCUAAGCAAUGAAGAUGAUACUUGAGGGAGGUUCCACUCUGCAGAGGCAUCUUCACCGUCAGGUGGCGCGCUGGAUUACGAUCGCUGGGGGUUUGGGAUAGAGCGUUGAGAUGGAGAUGUCGACUCCUGUUUUUUUGCGCUUUUUU